GGGGCAGUGGCGCAGUUGGGAGUCGCGUUAGACUGAAGCUAAACUUCAAUCAUUAUCAUCAAUCUAAAGGUCACCGGAUCAAAGCCGGUCUGCCCCA